rnacentral:lncRNA from 1 species
CUUUUCGAGGUAGGAGUCGACUCCUGUGAGGUAUGGUGCUGGGUGCAGAUGCAGUGUGGCUCUGGAUAGCACCUUAUGGACAGUUGUGUCCCCAAGGAAGGAUGAGAAUAGCUACUGAAGUCCUAAAGAGCAAGCCUAACUCAAGCCAUUGGCACACAGACAGAAAGCUGGAAGUUGAAAUGGUGGAGUCCAACUUGCCUGGACCAGCUUAAUGGUUCUGCUCCUGGUAACGUUUUUAUCCAUGGAUGACUUGCUUGGGUAAGGACAUGAAGACAGUUCCUGUCAUACCUUUUAAAGGUAUGGAGAGUCGGCUUGACUACACUGUGUGGAGCAAGUUUUAAAGAAGCAAAGGACUCAGAAUUCAUGAUUGAAGAAAUGCAGGCAGACCUGUUAUCCUAAACUAGGGUUUUUAAUGACCACAACAAGCAAGCAUGCAGCUUACUGCUUGAAAGGGUCUUGCCUCACCCAAGCUAGAGUGCAGUGGCCUUUGAAGCUUACUACAGCCUCAAACUUCUGGGCUCAAGUGAUCCUCAGCCUCCCAGUGGUCUUUGUAGACUGCCUGAUGGAGUCUCAUGGCACAAGAAGAUUAAAACAGUGUCUCCAAUUUUAAUAAAUUUUUGCAAUCCAUCUGGA